UCCUUUAGACGUUGUAAUUAUGUUUUUAAAUAAGGGGAUCUGUCAUUUUCCUCACCGAAUUUUGUUUUCUAAGCAUUCAACAAAUAUCCAACUACAUUAUUCCCACAUUCUCUAAUUUAAAGGGAAAUUUUCAGAAUCCUAUCGAUCAACUUCCAAUCUCUGUAGUUGCUCACAAGCUAGGCAAAUGUAUGUUGUCGGUCUUGACACCAAACCAGUCUCAAGUUAGAUCCCAAUGAAUAAAACAUUAGAGGCCAAAACAGAUGAUCAACAACAAGAAGAAGAGAAAGCAUUGGCCAUAUGGGAUUUAGGCAGCCCAUUAUAUGACUCGCAUGAAGUGGUGUCCCUCGCUCAUGUCAUUGAGCGGCACCUCAUGACAGUACUGCCAUCUCCUGGAGGAUCAAAAGGGUUCUCGCCCAAGAAAAUUUCUCAAGCAUCUGUCGUCGACCCUGCUGCAAUAUUGGUGUCAAAUAUGGGCUCCAAGAGCGAAACCAAAAGAGUUCGUUCUUCUUCUAAAUUGAACACCUUGAGUGAGUUUGUGAGGAGAAAGUUGAGGAUAAAGAAGAAGAUUGGAUCACACAGAAGGAUGGAUAAUUCCGAGAAGUUGAAAGCAGGACAUUGUAGCUCUUGUAUCAAGUUUGGCUUGUGAAGGCAACAGCUAGAAAUAACUCAAAAAUGAUCGAUAAAACAGGUAAUCGACCAUAAGGGGUGAUUUUGAUUGCUUGUUUGAGAUCGUACGGUGCCUGUCAUUUUGUUCGUUGAUUUGUUGAAAUAUCUUUCGAAUGCGGAGGAUUUCUCUUCUUAAAGUACGUAGCAUUUACUAUUGUACUAAUUCAAUCUAUCAAAUAUUGUUCCUGGUUAUAUUGCUCAGAAUUUUGUAAUUAAACAAGAUUGAUUGUAUACGCUCACAGACACACAUCAUCAGUCCCGUGAGAUUAAUUACAAUGAUAAGACUGGGUUAAAACUCUUUGCUCUCAUUGAUCAUACUUGCCCUUGUCGAAUAUUGUAUGGAGAAACCCUGUGCUAUAUAUAUAGAAAGUAUUGAGUGCUCCAAUCCUUAUGAAUCAAGCCAGAUUUUGAUUUAAUAAAAAAAAUACUCUCUACUUAAUUUAACCAAUCAAUAAAUUUAUUUGCCUAUAAGGUUCUCGUGAAUUCAUGGAGUUUUAUCCAAUAUCCUAUCUCCAUGAUGCUCAUCUCAUUCAAAAGUUCACCGCCUUAUCUCUCUCGCUUUUAAAAUAGGUUCUCAUAGAUGACCAUGAAUCCAUAGUCACUCUCCUCCAAGUUCUCACUUUUGCUAACUACUUGGUCAACUCUUGAUUUAUCUUUGUAUGUUUUUUUUUAAGUUCCUAAUGUCUCUUCCUCAAAAACAAAACUAAUUAUUAUCUUAUUUGAAACUAAUUAUUAUCUUAUUUGAAAGCACAUCUUGUUGUGCUCCUCUUCUUUAUUCAUUAGCAUACAACAACUAACCACGAGGAAUAGACCACGAGGAAUAGACGUUGAUCUUACUACAAAAAUUAGAUCCUAUAAAAGAUAGAGUCUUUAGAAUCUCCUAUCAAAAUUCUAGCUUAAUUUAAUUGUUGAAUCGAAAUUCAUACCUGUUAUUAUAAGGUUGUGCGUGUAACCCAAAUCCCUUGCAUCAAUUAUC
rnacentral:lncRNA from 1 species